rnacentral:rRNA from 1 species
CCCUUAGAUGUUCUGGGCCGCACGCGUGCUACACUGAGUGGAUCAGCGGGUCAGGUUGCGCGAAAGCGUUUCCUAAUCUUUAAAUCCGCUCGUGAUGGGGAUUGACGGUUGCAAUUUUCUGUCAUGAACGAGGAAUACCUUGUAAGCGCGGGUCAUCAUCCCGCGCUGAAUACGUCCCUGCCCUUUGUACACACCGCCCGUCGCUCCUACCGAUUGAGUGGUCCGGUGAGGCUUUGGGAUCUGAGCGGAAAGAGCGUUUCGCUGUUUCUGCUCGGAAAACUCAGUCGAACCUUAUCAUCUAGAGGAAGGUGAAGUCGUAACA